CAGCAGCCGCGGUAAUACAGAGGAUGCAAGCGUUAUCCGGAAUGAUUGGGCGUAAAGCGUCUGUAGGUGGCUUUUCAAGUCCGCCGUCAAAUCCCAGGGCUCAACCCUGGACAGGCGGUGGAAACUACCAAGCUAGAGUACGGUAGGGGCAGAGGGAAUUUCCGGUGGAGCGGUGAAAUGCGUUGAGAUCGAAAAGAACACCAACGACGAAAGCACUCUGCUGGGUCGACACUGACACUGAGAGACGAAAGCUAGGGGAGCAAAUGGGAUUAGAGACCCCCGUAGUCCCUGUCUCUUAUAA
rnacentral:rRNA from 1 species